UACGUAGGGCGCAAGCGUUGUCCGGAAUUAUUGGGCGUAAAGAGCUCGUAGGCGGUUUGUCGCGUCUGCUGUGAAAACCUAAGGCUCAACCUUGGGCUUGCAGUGGGUACGGGCAGACUAGAGUGCGGUAGGGUGACUGGAAUUCCUGGUGUAGCGGUGGAAUGCGCAGAUAUCAGGAGGAACACCGAUGGCGAAGGCAGGUCACUGGGCCGCAACUGAUCGCUGAGGAGCGAAAGCAUGGGGAGCGAACAGG
rnacentral:rRNA from 1 species